GCUGGGUGUGGUGGCUCACGCCUGUAAUCCCAGCACUUUGGGAGGCCAAGGCAGGUGGAUUACCUGAGGUCAGGAGUUCAACACCAGCCUGACCAAUAUGGUGAAACCCUGCCUCUA
rnacentral:SRP_RNA from 1 species